rnacentral:rRNA from 1 species
AGCGAACGCUGGCGGCAGGCUUAACACAUGCAAGUCGAACGCCCCGCAAGGGGAGUGGCAGACGGGUGAGUAACACGUGGGAACAUACCCUUUGGUUCGGAAUAACUUGGGGAAACUCAAGCUAAUACAGGAUAAGCCCUUAUGGGGAACGGUUUACUGCCGAAGGAUCGGCCCGCGUCUGAUUAGCUAGUUGGUGAGGUAAUGGCUCACCAAGGCGACGAUCAGUAGCUGGUCUGAGAGGAUGAUCAGCCACACUGGGACUGAGACACGGCCCAGACUCCUACGGGAGGCAGCAGUGGGGAAUAUUGGACAAUGGGGGCAACCCUGAUCCAGCCAUGCCGCGUGAGUGAUGAAGGCCUGAGGGUUGUAAAGCUCUUUUACCCGGGACGAUAAUGACUGUACCGGGAGAAUAAGCCCCGGCUAACUUCGUGCCAGCAGCCGCGGUAA